AUGCGGAGGCAAGCCGUGGUGUGGGACCCUGUCACCGGCGACCAGCACCGCCUUGCCGUUCCCCCAGGGUUCGGCUAUGUUGCAAGCCGGAUCCACGGGGCAGUGCUUCGCGCUACCGGCGAGGUCCACCACUUCCAGGUGGUCUUGGUAGAGGCCGCCACUGACGGCGCACAACAUAUGCGGUUGCUCGCCUGCGUUUACUCCUCAGAGACUGGCGCAUGGGGCAAUCUCAUUUCAACAUCGGUUCGGGGUGCUUUCAUUUACACUAUGUUUACGAGAAUGCCGGGUUUGCUCAUUGGGAAUUCCCUUUACUGGCUGUUUGAGGCAAACCACUUGGCUGUGAUUCUUGAGUUUGAUUUGGAGAAGCAGAGCCUAGUGGUGAUGCAAGCGCCAACAGAUAUUGAGAACAACCUCACAGUUAUGCGGGCUGAUGAUGGUGGGCUGGGUUUACUCUCCAUCUCAGGCUUCACGGCCAAAUUAUGGAAGAGAAAGACUGAUCGGAAUGGUGUUGCAUCAUGGUGGGAUGGAAGAACUAUUGAGGUGGACAAGCUACUUUCCCUGAGUUCAGAGAAGCCGAGAAAACGCCUAUCCCUAAUAGGGUUUGGAGAGGAAAAUAAUACGGUGUUCCUGCCAACACUUGAUGGUGUCCUCAUGGUCCAGCUUGAAUCAUUGCAAUUCAGGAAACUUAGUGUGUCCAACAACAAGCUUUGGCUUCAUCCGUUCAAAAGUGUCUAUACUGGAGGUAAAGGCAUGUCUUUACAAUAUGGCUAUAACGAAACCAGGUACCUAGAUUUGUAUUCUGGUUGCCAAGAUGCCGGAAUUGGCUUCUUCAAUGUGGGUUCAUCAAUUUUGUAUGCUUCACUGUUCAUGCGAAGAUCAACGGUCUAUGUUGCAUGCAUGGUCAACUUGAAAUUGGAAUAG
rnacentral:rRNA from 1 species